CUUCAACUGUUGGUCUGGAGAACUAGCAUUUUCUAACUGACCAUAACUGAAGUGUCCCUGAUUCGGGACAGGAACUCCUCUCCUUGAAAUGUACCAGUGAUCAAAGCACGGAGGCAGGAUUCGGUCAUUCACUCUGAGGCAGAAAUGGCUGAAAAGAAGACCCACCCCACAGAGGCAGAGCCCUGAGAAUGAGAACCGCUGUGAGCUGCGCUUUAGUGGAAGAAAACCUAAGGGUCCCGCAUCAUUCUAUGUCGGUUGGAAUGAACUGGGCAUGAAGUCCAUGUCAGUUUUUCUGUUUUGCAAAAUCAAUGCAAUUUCUCACUUGCUGAGCCAACCGCAUGAUCCCAGCCAAAUCAGCCAUCAACUGUUAUCUUUUUUAAACUUCAAAUAAUGAAGUACUCUUGUUUUCCUGAAAUGUCUUGAAAAGGUUAUUUCUAGGCUGACACUCUGCUUGCCAGCUUUUAU
rnacentral:lncRNA from 1 species